CUACGGGUGGCUGCAGUGGGGAAUAUUGGACAAUGGGCGAAAGCCUGAUCCAGCCAUGCCGCGUGUGUGAAGAAGGCCUUCGGGUUGUAAAGCACUUUCAGUGGGGAAGAAAGCCUUGGGGCUAAUACCCUCGAGGAAGGACAUCACCCACAGAGGAAGCACCGGCUAACUCCGUGCCAGCAGCCGCGGUAAUACGGAGGGUGCGAGCGUUAAUCGGAAUUACUGGGCGUAAAGCGCGCGUAGGCGGUCUGAUAAGCCGGUUGUGAAAGCCCCGGGCUCAACCUGGGAACGGCAUCCGGAACUGUCAGGCUAGAGUGCAGGAGAGGAAGGUAGAAUUCCCGGUGUAGCGGUGAAAUGCGUAGAGAUCGGGAGGAAUACCAGUGGCGAAGGCGGCCUUCUGGACUGACACUGACGCUGAGGUGCGAAAGCGUGGGUAGCAAACAGGAUUAGAUACCCCUGUAGUC
rnacentral:rRNA from 1 species